AGAACAUCCAACAUCAGAUAGUCAUCCAGCUGAUGGUACAGACGGCAGGAUCGUGGCCAUUCCACAGACAACUAUGCAAAAACACCUACAGACGGCAUUGCUCCUAUAGUCAACCUGAGACCAGAAAACUCUCUGUCCCCUCAUCAGCAAGAAGUAGCCAGAAAGAACAUGCUACCCCUCAUCUUUGUUAUAACUAUGGUGUCUGGAUUGACAGAGUAGGAGCGUCGCCAUCUUGGACAAGCCCCUCAUUCUAAAGUUCACCUUGAUCAAAAACUGCCUAAAUCCAAAGGGCGUCAGCCUAAUGGCUAAGGUCAGCACAACCAUAAACCACAAAUAACAUCUCCAAACAGAAACAUUCCAAACUCCUCAACGACCAGAGACAUGCUAGCCCCAAGAUAACCUCCCUCCGGCCAGGAAGACGCCAGCCUUGUGAUAACCCCUCUCUGGCCAGAAAGAUGUUAUCCCCAAGAUAACCUCCCCUCCACCCAGAGACAUUUCAAUCCCUCCAUAAAACUUCUCCCUCACACAGAAGAAUUCCAAGCUUGUGAUAGGCACCCUCACCCUAAAACCAAUAUAUACUCUUAGUCUGUAAGAGAAAGUGCUCCUGACCAAAAUUGGCCAGAAGCC
rnacentral:lncRNA from 1 species